AACGAACGCUGGCGGCAUGCCUAACACAUGCAAGUCGAACGAGACCUCCGGGUCUAGUGUCGCACGGGUGCGUAACGCGUGGGAACCUGCCCUUAGGUUCGGCAUCACUCCCUGAAAGGGGUGCUAAUACCCGAUAAUGUCUUCGGACCAAAGAUUUAUCGCCUUUGGAUGGGCUCGCGUAGGCUUCGCUGGUUGGUAGGGUAAAAGCCUACCAAGGGGACGAUCCAUAGCUGGGUUGAGAGGAUGAGCAGCCACACUGGGACUGAGACACGGCCCAGACUCUUACGGAAGGCAGGAGUGGGGAAUAUUGGACAAUGGGCGAGAGCAUGAUGGAGCAAGGCCGCGUGAGUGAUUAAGGUCGUGGGGAAGUAAAGCUGGUUUACCCGCGAUGAGAAUGACGGUACCGGGAGAAUAAGCUCCGGCUAACUACGUG
rnacentral:rRNA from 1 species